ncrna:unclassified sequences Glutamine riboswitch
AUCGUUCAACCCUUAAUGGGUCGGAAGUAGGCAUCAGCUGAAGGAACGCGCA